CCUACGGGAGGCUGCAGUGGGGAAUAUUGGGCAAUGGAGGCAACUCUGACCCAGCAACGCCGCGUGAAUGAUGAAGGUCUUCGGAUUGUAAAGUUCUUUUCUAAGGGAAGAAGAAAGUGACGGUACCUUAGGAAUAAGCCUCGGCUAACUACGUGCCAGCAGCCGCGGUAAUACGUAGGAGGCAAGCGUUAUCCGGAAUGACUGGGCGUAAAGGGUGCGUAGGUGGUUUGACAAGUUAGUAGCGCAACUCCGGAGCUCAACUUCGGAACUACUACUAAAACUGUUGGACUUGAGUGCAGGAGGGGCAAUCGGAAUUCCUAGUGUAGCGGUGAAAUGCUUAGAUAUCACGAAGAACCCCGAUUGCGAAGGCAGCUUACUAAACUGUGACUGACAUUGAUGCUCGAAAGUGUGGGUAUCAAACAGGAUUAGAUACCCGUGUAGUC
rnacentral:rRNA from 1 species